UAGCUUAUGAAAAAAUAAAGAGAUUCUUUUCUUCAAAAAGCUUCUAGUUAUGGUACAAAAUGAGAUUAUGGUAGGUGAAAAGGAAGAGACACUGUGGAUGGCACAUUACAAAAAUUGCAAUUGAAGGCGCUAAACAUUGGUGUAAUAUGUCUAAAGACGAAAAACGACGCUAUUAUACAGAAGCAUGUCAGAUGAUGAGCAAAGGAGGAGGUAGACGUAAAAAGGGUGGAAAGGGAGGCAAGAGCAAAAGAAGAAGAAGUAGACGAAGGGGAUGAAAAAAAAAAUAAUAAAACAAAUGUACAGUGUAUAUGGUGAAAUUCUUGUCACGCUAAAAAAAUUAGUAAAUGUAUUUGAUGCUUCUAUUGUGGAAUAAAAUUUAUCGAUGUGGGA
rnacentral:lncRNA from 1 species